rnacentral:rRNA from 1 species
CCUACGGGUGGCAGCAGUAAGGAAUAUUGGUCAAUGGACGAAAGUCUGAACCAGCCAUGCCGCGUGGAGGAUGAAGGUCCUCUGGAUUGUAAACUUCUUUUAUAUGGGACGAAAAAAGGCCUUUCCAGGUCGUCUGACGGUACCAUAUGAAUAAGCACCGGCUAACUCCGUGCCAGCAGCCGCGGUAAUACGGAGGGUGCAGGCGUUAUCGGGGUUCACGGGGGCGAAGGGGUGCUGGUGAGUCAUGGGUGAAAUCCCCGAGCUUAACUUGGGAACUGCCAUUGAUACUAUCAGUCUUGAAUACCGUGGAGGUCAGCGGAAUAUGUCAUGUAGCGGUGAAAUGCUUAGAUAUGACAUAGAACACCAAUUGCGAAGGCAGCUGGCUACACGAGUAUUGACACUGAGGCACGAAAGCGUGGGGAUCAAACAGGAUUAGAUACCCUAGUAGUC